CUCGCUCUCCACUUUGGAUCUAUAGUCCUUGACGAGCACAACAUGCUCCUCAUUCUUCCUCCCGUCCUCUUUCUGCUCGAUGGACGACACAAUCCGCCAAGCCGCCCGGAGAGAGCCGAUCACGUUUUUAUAAGCGACAGAGAGAAGGUUGCGCUCCUCCACAGUGAGCUCGCCGGACGGAGUAGAUCCGAGAACGAGCUUUUGCAUAAACUGGACCAUCUC
rnacentral:misc_RNA from 1 species